GAGGCAGGGCUGAGGUGACCGCAAUCUGAACUUCCUUCCAAAGCCUGACCACCUUCUCUCCUCUGGAUGCCCCUCCUCUCUGGUGAUGGUGAAGGACAGGUGUUGAAAGUCAGACUAAACAAGAUUUGAACAGCAGCUCUGCUCACCACGACGUGACCACGACAAAAGAGAACAAGAAACUUGAGCCAUCACAGUACAUCAAAGGCAUCUUCCAAUAUAUUCCCCAAGUCAACAUCCAGAAAACCUGCCUUAUCCUCUGUAGAGACCAUCACCAAGCCAGAGCAGAGCCAAAGAACACCUUCUUUUUUCUCCCUUCCAAGGACAACUCAGAGGCCAUCCAUCAGUGCUCACAUUUCUGCAGUCAUCCUUCCCUCAAAUAAAACUUUAAAAUGCAA